rnacentral:lncRNA from 1 species
UUUCCGACUCCCCGCUAGAUCACAAUCGCCGAGGACUCGGGCAAGUUGUCCGAGAUGGUUCAACAAUCCGUCUACCAAGGUUUCAUUGAUCAAUCCCCGAUGAUUUCUAACACGGUAUAUAAUGCCAUCAUAAGUUCCUUGGCCAAUGGCGUGUCCUAAGGAUACCAGGGGCCGGCAUAUGCCCCCCCACCUAUCAUGGCCCCAGCCAGGAAUUAUCCAAGUAUACCCUACUUGGCUCCUCAGCC